UUUCAAUCGAGAUAAAUAGGC
ensembl:piRNA 21ur-5855 ncRNA